UACGAAGGGGGCUAGCGUUUGUCCGGAUUUAUUGGGCGUAAAGAGCGUGUAGGCGGUUUGGUAGGUCCGCUGUGAAAACUCGAGCUCAACCUCGAGACGCCGGUGGAAACCAUCAGACUAGAGUCCGGGAGAGGAGAGUGGAAUUCCCAGUGUAGAGGUGAAAUUCGUAGAUAUUGGGAAGAACACCGGUGGCGAAGGCGGCUUACUGGUCCAUUACUGGACGCUGAGGUGCGAAAGCGUGGGGAGCAAACAGG
rnacentral:rRNA from 1 species